rnacentral:rRNA from 1 species
UACAGAGGAGCCAAGCGUUGUCCGGAUUGACUGGGCGUAAAGCGCACGCAGGCGGACGCGCGCGUGGGGUGUGAAAUCUGGCCGCUUAACGGCCAGGCGCCAUCCCAUACGGCGCGUCUGGAGUGAUGCAGAGGUCGGUGGAAUUGCCGGUGUAGUGGUGAAAUGCGUAGAGAUCGGCAGGAAGACCAAGGGGGAAGCCAGGCACCUGGGCCCGUACUGACACUCAUGGACGACCGCGUGGGGAGCGAACCGG